UACGAAGGGGGCUAGCGUUGCUCGGAAUCACUGGGCGUAAAGCGCACGUAGGCGGAUUGCUAAGUCAGGGGUGAAAUCCUGGGAGCUCAACUCCAGAACUGCCUUUGAUACUGAAGAUCUUGAGUCCGGGAGAGGUGAGUGGAACUGCGAGUGUAGAGGUGAAAUUCGUAGAUAUUCGCAAGAACACCAGUGGCGAAGGCGGCUCACUGGCCCGGUACUGACGCUGAGGCACGAAAGCGUGGGGAGCAAACAGG
rnacentral:rRNA from 1 species